rnacentral:rRNA from 1 species
UCGAACGAUGAACCCGCUUCGGUGGGGGAUUAGUGGCGAACGGGUGAGUAACACGUGGGCAAUCUGCCCUGCACUCUGGGACAAGCCCUGGAAACGGGGUCUAAUACCGGAUACGACCACUGAGGGCAUCCUUGGUGGUGGAAAGCUCCGGCGGUGCAGGAUGAGCCCGCGGCCUAUCAGCUUGUUGGUGGGGUGAUGGCCUACCAAGGCGACGACGGGUAGCCGGCCUGAGAGGGCGACCGGCCACACUGGGACUGAGACACGGCCCAGACUCCUACGGGAGGCAGCAGUGGGGAAUAUUGCACAAUGGGCGAAAGCCUGAUGCAGCGACGCCGCGUGAGGGAUGACGGCCUUCGGGUUGUAAACCUCUUUCAGCAGGGAAGAAGCGAAAGUGACGGUACCUGCAGAAGAAGCGCCGGCUAACUACGUGCCAGCAGCCGCGGUAAUACGUAGGGCGCAAGCGUUGUCCGGAAUUAUUGGGCGUAAAGAGCUCGUAGGCGGCUUGUCGCGUCGGUUGUGAAAGCCCGGGGCUUAACCCCGGGUCUGCAGUCGAUACGGGCAGGCUAGAGUUCGGUAGGGGAGAUCGGAAUUCCUGGUGUAGCGGUGAAAUGCGCAGAUAUCAGGAGGAACACCGGUGGCGAAGGCGGAUCUCUGGGCCGAUACUGACGCUGAGGA